rfam:Jatropha curcas cultivar GZQX0401 scaffold496_22, whole genome shotgun sequence.
GGAGAUGUAGCUCACAUGGUAGAGCGAUCGCUUAGCAAGCGAGAGGUACGGGGAUUGAUACUCCGCAUUUCCA